rnacentral:rRNA from 1 species
UACGUAGGGGGCGAGCGUUGUCCGGAUUUAUUGGGCGUAAAGAGCGUGUAGGCGGCCAGGUAGGUCUGCUGUGAAAACUCGAGGCUCAACCUCGAGACGUCGGCGGAAACCAUCUGGCUAGAGUCCGGAAGAGGAGAGUGGAAUUCCUGGUGUAGCGGUGAAAUGCGCAGAUAUCAGGAAGAACACCCGUGGCGAAGGCGGCUCUCUGGGCAGUAACUGACGCUGAGGAGCGAAAGCGUGGGGAGCGAACAGG